rnacentral:lncRNA from 1 species
AUGUGUUGAAAAGGUUCAAGUUUGGGGUUAAAUAGGGAAAGUGAAAGGCAAAAGAAAAAGGAAAGCAUUGAGUUCAAAGUAUGAAAAAGAAAAAUGCAUGUGAAAGAAAAGAAAAGAAGAAAAGAGAAAAAGCAUGUAAAGAGAACUCAAUGUAAAAUGAAAAAGGGAAAAAGUUGGGAAUGAGUGAGAUUGGUUAAAAAGAGAGUGUGCUUGAACUUUGAAUGAUGAUUUAAACUCUCUUAACUCAGGGAUUUUGUAUUCUAGAAAAAC